rnacentral:rRNA from 1 species
GUUACUGCUAUCGGAGUUCGAUUAAGCCAUGCAAGUCUAAAGGUUUCUUCGGAAACCUUGGCGGACUGCUCAGUAACACGUGGAUAACCUACCCUUGGGACUGGAAUAACCCCGGGAAACUGGGGAUAAUACCGGAUAGAUCAGGGAUGCUGGAAUGCACCUUGAUCCAAAGCUCCGGCGCCCAAGGAUGGGUCUGCGGCCUAUCAGGUAGUAGUGGGUGUAACGUACCUACUAGCCAACGACGGGUACGGGUUGUGAGAGCAAGAGCCCGGAGAUGGAUUCUGAGACACGAAUCCAGGCCCUACGGGGUGCAGCAGGCGCGAAACCUUUACAAUGUGCGAAAGCAUGAUAAGGGAACUCCGAGUGCCAGUAUCUAAUAUUGGCUGUCCUUGUGCCUAAAACGCACAAGAUAGCAAGGGCCGGGUAAGACCGGUGCCAGCCGCCGCGGUAACACCGGCGGCCCGAGUGGUAGCCGCUAUUAUUGGGUCUAAAGGGUCCGUAGCCGAUUCGAUAAGUCCUCUGGGAAAUCUGGUUGCUUAACAAUCAGACUGCCAAGGGAUACUGUCGAACUUGAGACCGGGAGAGGUAAGAGGUACUUCAGGGGUAGGAGUGAAAUCUUGUAAUCCCUGGGGGACCAUCUGUGGCGAAGGCGUCUUACCAGAACGGGUCUGACGGUGAGGGACGAAAGCUGGGGGCGCAAACCGGAUUAGAUACCCGGGUAGUCCCAGCCGUAAACGAUGCUCGCUAUGUGUCAGGUACGGUGUGACCGUAUCUGGUGCCGUAGGGAAGCCGUGAAGCGAGCCACCUGGGAAGUACGGUCGCAAGACUGAAACUUAAAGGAAUUGGCGGGGGAGCACUACAACGGGUGGAGCCUGCGGUUU